rnacentral:SRP_RNA from 1 species
ACUGGGCAUGGUGGUGCAUGCCUGUAGUUCCAGCUACUUGGGAGGUUGAGGUGGGAGGAUUGCUUGAGCCUGGAAAGUCAAGGCUGCAGUGAGCCAUGUUCGCACCACUGCACUCCAGUCUGGGUAACAAAGCGAGACCCUAUCUUAA